rnacentral:lncRNA from 1 species
UGUGCUUUAUGCUGGAGCAGCAGUGCAGGUGGCGCUACGGUCAAAGAGGAGGCACGAAAGGGACAAGAAACGAGGAAGAGUGUGUCGCUACUUUACAAAGUUCCAAAGCUUGCAAAGCACAAAGCUAUUCAGGAUGGUGUCCUCGUUGAAAACAUGUUCGACCUUCCUUAUGUGAAACCGAAUCAGGCUGGACCAGAAUUGAAUGCCUUCAUGGCACGUGUCUGCACAGAAGUAAAAAAGAUACUUCCUUCUUUGCCCUGUGGUGUACAAAUACUUGCUGGAAAUAAUAAAAGUGCAUUAGCUGUUGCAGCAGCCACAGGUAAUUCCUAUUCUUUGUAUACUUGCUGGAACCAAUAUUGUGACUUCAUAAUAUAUUCAGUGAUUGUGUUCUGCCUGAAUUGUUUCCACUGUUAUUUCAUACUUAUUUAGUGAUACUAGUAUAUCUAUUUAAUAAAAUUUCUUUUAAUCUGUCCAAA